rnacentral:rRNA from 1 species
UACGGGGGGAGCAAGCGUUGUUCGGAAUUACUGGGCGUAAAGCGUGCGCAGGCGGUUAUGUAAGACAGAUGUGAAAUGCCCGGGCUUAACCUGGGAACUGCAUUUGUGACUGCAUGGCUAGAGUGUGUCAGAGGGGGGUAGAAUUCCACGUGUAGCAGUGAAAUGCGUAGAUAUGUGGAGGAAUACCGAUGGCGAAGGCAGCCCCCUGGGAUAACACUGACGCUCAUGCACGAAAGCGUGGGGAGCAAACAGG